rnacentral:rRNA from 1 species
CCUACGGGCGGCUGCAGCGGGGAAUAUUGCACAAUGGGCGCAAGCCUGAUGCAGCCAUGCCGCGUGUGUGAAGAAGGCCUUCGGGUUGUAAAGCACUUUCAGCGGGGAGGAAGGCGGUGAGGUUAAUAACCUCAUCGAUUGACGUUACCCGCAGAAGAAGCACCGGCUAACUCCGUGCCAGCAGCCGCGGUAAUACGGAGGGUGCAAGCGUUAAUCGGAAUUACUGGGCGUAAAGCGCACGCAGGCGGUCUGUCAAGUCGGACGUGAAAUCCCCGGGCUCAACCUGGGAACUGCAUUCGAAACUGGCAGGCUAGAGUCUUGUAGAGGGGGGUAGAAUUCCAGGUGUAGCGGUGAAAUGCGUAGAGAUCUGGAGGAAUACCGGUGGCGAAGGCGGCCCCCUGGACAAAGACUGACGCUCAGGUGCGAAAGCGUGGGGAGCAAACAGGAUUAGAUACCCGAGUAGUC